rnacentral:pre_miRNA from 1 species
GUCCACAAUUUGACAACUGUAUUCGAGUGAGUGGAUAGAGUUGUGAUUCUCUAGCACCAUUCGAAUUCAGUGCUCGAAUUUGGAC